AUUUAAAUAGUUUAAUUAAAAUAUUGACUUGUGGUGUCAAGGAUGUGAUGUUUUCACUUUAAAUA
rnacentral:tRNA from 1 species